AUCACUUCUCAGCCUUCUGAGAUGAAGUGUAUCUAUCAUCUGUUCUUAGCAGUUUAAUAUUUGAUAUGUCUUCUACCCAAGGAAUACAUAGUAUUCUGAAUAGGGAGGUGGAAUAGGAGCUUGCUCCAUACACUCCACACAUGGACCUGGUGUAGCAGUACCUCCCGGAACAAUGCCCGCCUC